UACGGGGGGGGCCAGCGUUGUUCGGAAUUACUGGGCGUAAAGGGCUCGUAGGCGGCCCACUAAGUCGGACGUGAAAUCCCCAGGCUCAACCUGGGAACUGCGUCCGAUACUGGAUGGCUUGAAUCCGGGAGAGGGAUGCAGAAUUCCAGGUGUAGCGGUGAAAUGCGCAGAUAUCAGGAGGAACACCGGUGGCGAAGGCGGGUCUCUGGGCCGAUACUGACGCUGAGGAGCGAAAGCGUGGGGAGCGAACAGG
rnacentral:rRNA from 1 species